ACUCCUACGGGAGGCAGCAGUAGGGAAUCUUCCACAAUGGGCGCAAGCCUGAUGGAGCAACACCGCGUGAGUGAAGAAGGGUUUCGGCUCGUAAAGCUCUGUUGUUAAAGAAGAACACGUAUGAGAGUAACUGUUCAUACGUUGACGGUAUUUAACCGGAAAGUCACGGCUAACUACGUGCCAGCAGCCGCGGUAAUACGUAGGUGGCAAGCGUUAUCCGGAUUUAUUGGGGCGUAAAGAGAGUGCAGGCGGUUUUCUAAGUCUGAUGUGAAAGCCUUCGGCUUAACCGGAGAAGUGCAUCGGAAACUGGAUAACUUGAGUGCAGAAGAGGGUAGUGGAACUCCAUGUGUAGCGGUGGAAUGCGUAGAUAUAUGGAAGAACACCAGUGGCGAAGGCGGCUACCUGGUCUGCAACUGACGCUGAGACUCGAAAGCAUGGGUAGCGAACAGGAUUAGAUACCCUGGUAGGAUAGCG
rnacentral:rRNA from 1 species